UACGUAGGGUGCAAGCGUUGUCCGGAAUUAUUGGGCGUAAAGGGCUCGUAGGCGGUCUGUCGCGUCUGCUGUGAAAACUCGGGGCUUAACCCCGGGCCGGCAGUGGGUACGGGCAGACUAGAGUGCGGUAGGGGAGACUGGAAUUCCUGGUGUAGCGGUGAAAUGCGCAGAUAUCAGGAGGAACACCGGUGGCGAAGGCGGGUCUCUGGGCCGUAACUGACGCUGAGGAGCGAAAGCGUGGGGAGCGAACAGG
rnacentral:rRNA from 1 species